rnacentral:rRNA from 1 species
UGGCGGACGGGUGGGUAAUGUCUGGGAAACUGCCCGAUGGAGGGGGAUAACUACUGGAAACGGUAGCUAAUACCGCAUAACGUCGCAAGACCAAAGAGGGGACCUUCGGGCCUCUUGCCAUCGGAUGUGCCCAGAUGGGAUUAGCUAGUAGGUGGGGUAACGGCUCACCUAGGCGACGAUCCCUAGCUGGUCUGAGAGGAUGACCAGCCACACUGGAACUGAGACACGGUCCAG